CCCCUAGACGUUCUGGGCUGCACGCGCGCUACAAUAAUACGCACAGCGAGUAUCACCGAGCUCGAAAGGGCAAGGUAAACAAUAGAAAAGGUACUGUAAUGGUUAUAGAUCCUUGUAAUUAUUGAUCUUCAACGAGGAAUUCCUAGUAAGUAUGUGUCAUCAUCACGCACUGAUUACGUCCCCGCCCUUUGUACACACCGCCCGUCGCUCCUACCGAUUGGGUGAGCCGAUGAAACUCUCGGAUGUAGGCUAUUCAUAGCCCGCAGAAGAGAUUUGAAUCGUAGCGCUUAGAGGAAGGAGAAGUCGUAACG
rnacentral:rRNA from 1 species